rnacentral:rRNA from 1 species
GACGAACGCUGGCGGCGUGCUUAACACAUGCAAGUCGAACGGAAAGGCCCUGCUUUUGUGGGGUGCUCGAGUGGCGAACGGGUGAGUAACACGUGAGUAACCUGCCCUUGACUUUGGGAUAACUUCAGGAAACUGGGGCUAAUACCGGAUAGGAGCUCCUGCUGCAUGGUGGGGGUUGGAAAGUUUCGGCGGUUGGGGAUGGACUCGCGGCUUAUCCGCUUGUUGGUGGGGUAGUGGCUUACCAAGGCUUUGACGGGUAGCCGGCCUGAGAGGGUGACCGGCCACAUUAGGACUGAGAUACGGCCCAGACGGCUACGGGAGGCAACAGUGGGGAAUAUGACACAAUGGGCGGAAGCCUGAUGCAGCAACGCCGCGUGCGUGAUGACGGCCUUCGGGUGGUAAACCGCUGUCGCCUGUGACGAAGCGUGAGUGACGGUAAUGGGUAAAGAAGCACCGGCUAACUACGUG